rnacentral:snRNA from 1 species
AUGCCUUAAACUGAUGAGUAAGGAAAAUAACGACGCGGGGUGACGCCCGUGUCCUCGUUUACAUUACGAGAUGAAUUUUUGAAGGGGGAGAGGUCUGCCUGCUGAGGUGACUCGCCUACUUUGCGAGAUGCCUCGUGGGACUGGGACCUUCCCU